UCAAAUCAAGCUUGGCUUGUCGUUGGGCCCUGUCACCUGGUGACAGGUCCAAAAGAGAAUGACUGGUGUCGUAAGGACUCUAUAUGCAACGAGCUUAUAACAGCACGCAUCUAGUGGUUAUAUGACCCGGUGAUCACCCCUUUAUUUCUCAA
rnacentral:misc_RNA from 1 species